CAUUUUCAGUAAAGAAGUCCUGAGUAAACACGUUGUCGUUGAAUACCGCUUCUCUGCCGAACCUUAUAUUAGUGCCUCAUGCAGUAAUGUCUCAGUUUUAUCUCAGUUAAUGCCUGCGGGCUAAGAAAACACUCUAAGGAAUUUUGCAAAAUGGCAAAGAUUAAAGGUCAAGUUAAGUGGUUCAACGAGUCUAAAGGUUUUGGUUUCAUUACUCCUGCUGACGGCAGCAAAGACGUGUUCGUACACUUCUCUGCAAUCCAGGGUAACGGCUUCAAAACUCUGGCUGAAGGCCAGAACGUUGAGUUCGAAAUUCAGGAUGGCCAGAAAGGCCCAGCUGCAGUUAACGUAACUGCUAUC
rnacentral:sRNA from 1 species